rnacentral:lncRNA from 1 species
UAGGACUUCAAUCUUCAAAUCUCGUUGUCUUCCAUCUUGACUCCACAAAGAUCAAUGAGAGGGCAGGUACAUGCUUUUGCAGUGACCUUGACAUGUAGAUUUGUAUGCUUUUUAAAACAUACUUCAUUGUUAGAAUUUAAGGGAAAAUGUCACCCAUUUGAUAGUUCAUUUGGUUUCCAACUAUCUUAUUUCUUACUUCCCAGCCUCACAUAUAUGUUUUUAUGUAAAAUGAAAUGGAAGAUAAACAGAGUUUGACUUGCUUCAUCAUUCUGGUGCAUAUUUGAUUUGAAGCAUUUACCUAAAGCAUGUUAUCAAAUCUAAAUCUAGCCGUGUUAAUUCAGAUAUAUAAUUUCGAAUAUGAAUUAUCCAAAAGCCAGAUGUGUCAUUUUUUUUUCCUUAACGAUUUAAAGCUUUAGUAAUAUUAUGCGGUUCUUACACAAAUAUAUAGCCUUAUCAACAGCAACCAGGCCAUUGAGGUAUAAAUCUAAUACAUAUGUAUAGAACACUAUGCAGGCAACUUUUACCACAGCAUCCAAGAUGUUACUUCUCUAUUAUACAUUAAAGUCACCAUCAAGGAGGUUCUUUCACUGAUCAAGGUGAGAUUGGGACUUGGCUUUUGUUUACGUGAUGAGACAAGCCACCUGAUUCGAUACAUGACGCUGAAGAAGCAUGGCGGGAGAGUGAGGCCCUGUCACUUUGGGAGGGGUUGAGGAGAGUGAUUCGCUACAUACGUUGAACAAGCAUGGUGGGCCACCU